GACGAGGAAGGACGGUACCUCAGGAAUAAGUCUCGGCUAACUACGUGCCAGCAGCCACGGUAAAACGUAGGAGGCGAGCGUUAUCCGGAUUUACUGGGCGUAAAGCGCGCGCAGGUGGCUUCGUGAGUCGGACAUGAAAGCUCCUGGCUUAACUGGGAGAGGCUGUUCGAUACUGCGGGGCUUGAGGUUGGGAGAGGGACGCGGAAUUCCCGGUGUAGUGGUGGAAUGCGUAGAUAUCGGGAGGAACACCAGUGGCGCAAGCGGCGUCCUGGCCCACACCUGACGCUGAGGUGCGAAAGCGUGGGUAGCAAACAGGAUUAGAUACCCUGGUAGUCCACGCUGUAAACGAUGUCAACUGGGUGUCGGUAGUUUUACACUAUCGGUGCCGAAGCUAACGCG
rnacentral:rRNA from 1 species